GUUUGAGGUACAAUUUGGUUUUGGAAUCACCAUCAAAUUUGGCAGGUGUAUUCAUAAACUUCUUGAACUUACUACACCUCUGUGUUUGAAUUUCAAAGGGCUUCCUGUUAAAUUAUAAGAAAAGAACCGUGGCCUCUUUAGGCACAGUUACUGAAUGUGUCUGUUAUAUGCUACUGAAAAUCCAAUUACUGGAAUAUUUAUAAACCCUGCCAUUCACACAGCGCUUGUGAAAAGUGCACAGCAGUUCAGAAUACCUCACCAAAAGCUGGCAUCCCUCAUAAAGAGAAAUCAUUUGACUUCUGAGAUCGACUAGGUUGCCACUGACAGCCCAGCAGCAGGAGAUGACACUAAAUCCAACGGUAUUAAACCCAAGUUGCUCACCUUGUUUCUGCCAGUGCUAAUCCUCAGAAUUCCAUCUUGCCAGGUUUUUGAUUUUUUCAGUUUUUGGUGAGUGUAUAACACCUGUUUGAAAUGUGUAAAACAUUAAAAUAAGAAGUAAGAACGUGUUUAAAUAAUACAGCAGCUACUGCGUUUUAAUUUAUUUCUACUUAAUUCUACGUAGUGA